AGUGAACGCUGGCGGUAGGCCUAACACAUGCAAGUCGAACGGCAGCACAGUAAGAGCUUGCUCUUACGGGUGGCGAGUGGCGGACGGGUGAGGAAUACAUCGGAAUCUACUUUUUCGUGGGGGAUAACGUAGGGAAACUUACGCUAAUACCGCAUACGACCUACCGGUGAAAGCAGUGGAUCUUCGGACCUUGCGCGAUUGAAUGAGCCGAUGUCGGAUUAGCUAGUUGGCGGGGUAAGGGCCCACCAAGGCGACGAUCCGUAGCUGUUCUGAGAGGAUGAUCAGCCACACUGGAACUGAGACACGGUCCAGACUCCUACGGGAGGCAGCAGUGGGGAAUAUUGGACAAUGGGCGCAAGCCUGAUCCAGCCAUACCGCGUGGGUGAAGAAGGCCUUCGGGUUGUAAAGCCCUUUUGUUGGGAAAGAAAGGCAGCAGGUUAAUACCCCGCUGUUCUGACGGUACCCAAAGAAUAAGCACCGGCUAACUUCGUG
rnacentral:rRNA from 1 species